rnacentral:rRNA from 1 species
UACGUAGGGUGCGAGCGUUGCCCGGAUUUAUUGGGUUUAAAGGGUGCGUAGGCGGCCCUGUAAGUCAGUGGUGAAAUACUGCAGCUUAACUGUAGCAUUGCCAUUGAUACUGCAGGGCUUGAGUACAGAUGAGGUAGGCGGAAUUGAUGGUGUAGCGGUGAAAUGCAUAGAUACCAUCAAGAACACCGAUUGCGAAGGCAGCUUACUAAGCUGUAACUGACGCUGAGGCACGAAAGCGUGGGGAUCGAACAGG